rnacentral:rRNA from 1 species
ACAUACGACCAUAUCCGCUAGGAAGCACGGGAUCCCGUCCGCUCUCCCCGAGUUAAGCUAGCGAGAGCUCGAGUAGUAGUUGGGUCGGUGACGACCAGCGAAUGCCGAGUGUUGUAUGUC